UUGGAAGUCUUUAAAAAGAGGCUGGAUGGACAUCAUUUAGGACAGCUUUUGCUGAUAUUCCUUCAUAGUUGGCUUAGAUAACCCUUGUUGUCCCUUCCAACUCUGCGACUCUAAUACUCUACAACUUUCUACUUUAUUGAUCAUUAUUAUUUUUAAAUGAGUCAUAUUAUCUCAUGAUAUGUCCAAAGUACAACACCCUGAAUUUAGUCAUCUUGGCUUCUAGUGUGACUUCAGGUUUAAUUUGCUCUAAGACUCCAUUUAUUUGUCUUUUAGGCUGCCUACAGCACCACAUUUCAAAUUGUGCUUCCUAUCAGUUUUCCUCAUUACUGAAUUUUCACAAGCAUAUGUAGAAAAUGGAAAUACUAUGGCCUGGAUUACUCUGGCUUUGUGUUAACACUUGAAAACCCUAUCUAGUUAUUUUAUGCCUGCUUCUCCAAAUCUUCAUAGAGGUUAUUCUAACACAAUGAUUUCUCUAUUUUCAGGUACUUGAAUGUCUGUUCCUACAUGCUGUUCAAAUGGAUAUAAGUUUGGGAAUGGGACUUCAUUAGAUCUGGCAGCCAAAUUACUGCUAAAGACUAUGAUCCAACAGAAUAGUUAUUUCCUUAUUAGCGCUCACUCUGGGGAGAUCUAAACUUGCAUCUUAUGCUUCCUUGUUAAUGACAGCAAAAUAUGUCCAUGUUAUUUCUUGUGUUCAGUAAUUACGAAGGAGGGUGAGUAGCAGAUGGGCAACAAGGUCUGGCUGGAGGAAUUCUGCCAUUGGAAGUAAAAUCAUCAUUCAUGCGAACUCUCUCCCAUUCAUGUGGAAAUGCAGUUUUUAAAACUUCAUCUAAUCUACCGAGUCCUGAAAUAAUCUCUUGUGACACAACAAGCGAGGAAACUACCUGCAGACAAGGUUAACAGGGGAAAGAGAUACUUGUGUUCUAUUCUGAGCUGUUGGUAGUGACACCUUUAUUACAUCAUCAGAUAAGAAAACCCAUCUAGUUUGUGCUUAAGUGCAAAAAUAAAUAAAGCCAAAUACAAUCCAAGGUACAGUAAGUAUGAACAGGACACGGAAGAAUAAAACAGAAAAGCUGAAUUUGAAAGAGAGUUGGAUCAUCUCCAAAUGACAUGCUUAUCUGGUGUCAACCAUUGGCUCCAACAGAGCUUAAAUAAACUGCUCCACUUCUGGGUGCAUUGAAUCCAAUUAUGGAGGUAUGAGUCCCUCAUUGAAUCCCAACCCAAUGAACAAAAAGCAAAUCUGCUGAAAAAUAUGUAAGGGAUUGAUCUGAAUUAAGCCUUCAUCUGUUGAGCAUUUGAGACAUGUCUCCUGUUUCCUGCUGAUUUUACUGGCUGCUUCCAAGUUGCUGUUUCCUUCAAUCAACUCAAUGCCAAAUGCCAACGUUCCAGUUUUCACGCUGCUGUCUGCAUCAGGAGCAGAUGUCUCUUGUUGAACCCAAAUUCUUUUCUAGUGUGAAAGAAGAUAAACCUUUCUGAAUUGAUUUCGUUCGACAAGUACCAGUGGUGUCUCUUCUUUGGUAAAAAAAAAAUAGGACAGUUUUAAACAAAGUCGUAAGUGAACAUAUAUACUGGAUUAGAGAAGCACAAGGUUAGUCUGAAAUCAGAGGACAUGGGUAAGGUUUCUUCCACACUAGAAUCAAACCAUAGACUCAGAGUUUAAAAGACCUCAAGGGCCAUCCACUUUAAUCUCACUGUGCCACACAGAAAUACACAUUCGAAACACUUCUAAAAGGUGGCCAUCCAGCUUCUGUUUAAAAACUCCAAAGAAGGAGUUUGUAUUUCAUUCCAAGAGAUCCUAUUCCACCCUCAAACAACUCUUACCAUCAAGAAGUUCUUCCUAAACUUUAGGAUUUAUUUUGCUGUACUUUGACUCCAUAGCUCCAUGUCCUAGUCCCUGGAGCAACAGAGAACAAGUCAGAUCCAUCUGUAAUAUGGUCUUCUUUCAAAUCAUGGUUCUCAUGUCACCUCUCAACCAUCUCUGCUUUAUGUUAAAAACAUACCCUGCUCCCUAAGCAUAGAGAAUGACAAGUAGACCUUUUGUCUAGUAAUGUGGCCCUUUGUUCACUCAUGUCUCUGAAAGAGUCAGGGCAGUUGAGGUGGAGCACAAUGAGUUCAUUUCAUGCAAAAUCAGCAGGAGCAGAAAUUUUUUUGGAAAAAGCAUAGUGGGGAAGACCCAGAUGUGGUUCAUGAAGGACCAAAACUACCUUGGAGCAGCAUGUGAUCUAUGGGCCAUACUUUCCAAGUCCUUGUCAUAUAUUCUCUAAAAUUCUGGCUUACACUCAUUACAACCGUGGCUAAUGAGCAUUAUGUGUCAGCUCAAGAUCACUUUGUACCACUCCAGAAUAUUACAGUCAUUCUUCCAUUAUGUACAACAGAGUCUCUGAUGACAGAUUCAAAAGAAAAACACAUAGUACUUUUUAGUAUUUUUGUGCAUGACAUGACUGGUCUAUUUAAUUCUGUCACCAUUUUUUCCAAAAACCCCAUUCAAUAAGGCAAGAAAACAAGCCCAAACAAUUCUAGUUACAUCUAGACAAUCAGUUCUCCAAACAUCUUGAUCGAAAUGAACCCAGAACAUUUCUGCUAAGAUGAUCAGUCAACAUUAAUAGAGAUCUAACAGCACAAUGUUUACCUGUUUACUGAGAAGAAAUGCUCAUGAGGCUUACUCAUGGGAAAGCGAGAGAAGCUGAAAACACUGAAGCAAAAGAUCGCACAAUGUUGUUUGAUGUGAAAGGCCAUGCAAAAUGCUAGUUGACAUCUGUAUUCUGCUAUUUGCCUUCAGGGACUUUCUGCUACAGUUUGAAAGAUUUUCAACCACAACCAGUCAGGUAAAGAGAAUGUGACAUUAUCAAGUUUUCAUUUUUCACACCUGUUAGUCUUGGUAAGGCUUCUUUUCCUUCCUUUCUGGACAAAAACUAAAAAUAAGCCUAGACUAAUGGAGGUAUCUGCCAUGCCAAAUUGUCCAACAGUAUGUAUGUCUCCAUCUAUCUAUCCAUCCAUCCUACUCCACCAAAGUUAGACCUGCCUUCAAUAGUACAAUAGUUUAAGUAUUUGCCUGAUUUAAGUAACUAAAUAAAUGUUUUCAUUAAUUUCUGGGUUAAGCAUUCAUAGAUUUGAUUAUUCACAGAUUACUGUAUUUGCUAACACCUUUGCUGCACAACUGCAAAAAUAUGUUCUCUCUAAACAUUUUACAUCCUCUACCACAAUGCUAUGGUCAAUGUCUCAAAAAUGCCAUUUUUAUUUAUAUUCAUGGUUUUUCCAUUUUUCUGAGGAACAUGCACCCUAACUCCCACAAAUGUAGAGGAACUGCUAACAUCCCAACAAAGGACAAAACAUUAUUUUUAUUACAACAAAAUAGCACAAAAUAUAAAGCUGUGGAGCCUAUAUAGCAUCCUCUUGGUGUUUUAGACAUCCAUAACUCACCCUAUAUAGUGAGGCUUUUGGGGAUGUCAAGAUAAGGCUUUUUGGGAUGUCAAGAUAAGACCUGGCGCCAUGAGGGGAGUGCCAUUAAGUCUCUGACAGCUAAGAUAACUGGGAUUCUCCUUAAUUAAUGAGAACCCCUAAUGGAUGAGACGAGAAUUCCAGUGCUAAUAGGUCUCUGACAGCUGAGAUAAGGGGAUUCUCCUUAAUUAAUGAGAAUCCCUAAUGGAUGAGGUGAGGAUUCCAAAGAUAACGCCUAACGGAGGUCUUGAAAGUAGUCUAUAUUUUAGGAAAAUGCAAAGAUAAGCUUUUAGUUAAGUGUCCAGUAAGACUUUUUUGACAUUAAUUGGUAAUUGAUAAUACCUGUGUGACGUAGAUAGAGGCAGGCCAAAAUAGUAUAUAAGGAUCUGUGUUUCUUUGUCUAAGAUACCUUCGCUUUCCUGAUUACAGGAGAAGGUCUUUUUCUUUAUUGCUGUAUUCUCACUGGCCAUUGAGAAUAAAGACGUCAUUUUUCUACAGCCA